GAGUAACCCGUGGGUAACCUGCCUGUAAAACUGGGAUAACUCCGGGAAACCGGGGCUAAUACCGGAUAACACCUACCCCCGCAUGGGGGAAGGUUGAAAGGUGGCUUCGGCUAUCACUUACAGAUGGACCCGCGGCGCAUUAGCUAGUUGGUGAGGUAAUGGCUCACCAAGGCGACAAUGCGUACCCAACCUGAGAGGGUGAUCGGCCACACUGGGACUGAAACACGGCCCAUACUCCUACGGGAGGCAGCAGUAGGGAAUCUUCCGCAAUGGACAAAAGUCUGACGGAGCAACGCCCCGUGAGUGAAAAAGGUUUUCGGAUCGUAAAACUCUGUUGUUAGGGAAAAACAAGUGCCGUUCGAAUAGGGCGGCCCCUUGACGGUACCUAACCAAAAAGCCACGGCUAACUACGUGCCAGCCGCCGCGGUAAUACGUAGGUGGCAAGCGGUGUCCGGAAUUAUUGGGCGUUAAGCGCGCGCAGGUGGUUUCUUAAGUCUGAUGUGAAAGCCCA
rnacentral:rRNA from 1 species